rnacentral:rRNA from 1 species
AGAACCAGGGCCUCGGCCCUGGGGAAAGCGGUUGUUGCCCUGAGUAACACGUGGAUAAUCAACCCCCGACACUGGGAUAGCCCGGGGAAACCCGGAUUAAUACCGGAUGCCCCAUCCGGCCUUCGGGCCGGCUGGAAAAGGGUAGCUUCGGCCUCCGGUCGGGGACGAGCCCGCGGCGGAUUAGCUUGUUGGUGAGGUAACGGCUCACCAAGGCUAAGAUCGGUAGCCGGUCUGAGAGGAUGAUCGGUCUUACUGGAACUGAUACCCGGUCCAGACUCCUACCCGAGGCAUCAGUGGGAUCUUGC